rnacentral:rRNA from 1 species
UACGGGGGGGGCAAGCGUUGUUCGGAAUUACUGGGCGUAAAGGGCUCGUAGGCGGCCAACUAAGUCAGACGUGAAAUCCCUCGGCUUAACCGGGGAACUGCGUCUGAUACUGGAUGGCUAGAGGUUGGGAGAGGGAUGCGGAAUUCCAGGUGUAGCGGUGAAAUGCGUAGAUAUCUGGAGGAACACCGGUGGCGAAGGCGGCAUCCUGGGACCAAUUCUGACGCUGAGGAGCGAAAGCCAGGGGAGCAAACGGG